CAAAAGUUUAUGCAUAUGUAUCUUGUAACAAAUACAACCUUAAUUUAUAUCAAUGUACAAAGUCCAUACCAAAGGUAAAAUAUUUGGUUUGUUAAUAUUUUGUCUAGAAGUAAAUUCAGUAAUCCAUCCUUUUAUCCUAUUAUUUUUAUAAAAAUACAACCCUAAAAAUAUCCAUUAUAAGCUUCAAAAAUAACCAUUAUGUAACCUCUGUUCAUAAGAAUUCCUGUGGAAGUGAAAGAUCCCACGCAGAGAGACCCUUAUUCAAGUCUUGGGAAAUCGUGGACCCCAGACACAGAGAGACCAUUUUGGAUGUAAUAAGCAAAGGCAAGGUUUAUUACGGAGAUCUAUUACAGAGAUCUCCAGGCUGACACGUAUCCCACGCAGGAGACAGAGGUGUCGACCCGGACUUUUAGAAGCAAGGGGUUUUUAUACGGUGAGGAACAGGGGGAUAGGGAGAGUUGGCGCAGCUAUAAGUGAUUUGCCCAUUCAAACAUAGCAGUGAGAUUACAGCACAGCAGAAGAGUAUGUGCUGACUGGGGCGUUCAGGUAUUUAGAAGCCAGGGGCUUAUCAGGAUUUGAAGGACAUCUGGUUAAAGUGUGACUCUGAGUAAGCUGGGGGAGGUGUCCUCCUGCCAAAUGGUUUAUGAGUCAGUCCUGAUAGCUUGGGCUGGUUCCUGUAUUCCUUUUCUUUAUCUUUAUGGUCUGUUAGCCCUUGCGGCAGGGCAGGCCCCAUCAUGCCUGGACUUGCCUGGGCUUGUUUUUCACAGUGUUUAGCCCUGAGUCUGUGAAUUUUGAAACUUACUCUUUUAAUUUUACAUUUUUAAACCUUAAAUCUGUAUAAUUUUCCUUUCAGAAGAAUGAGUAGAAGGCAAGAUAACUGAAAUGAAAGCCAUCUCUGGAUCAAAACAAUCUAUAUGUUUAUCUUAUAAUUUCUUUUCUAUCAGAGUCAAUUCUUUUUCAGCCUCACCUGAUAAUUUUCUUGAACCUUUUAAGUCUUUAUCACCUUUUAAGGUUUUAUAUAUAUCACUUAUACUGAGAAGUCAAUCCAAUUGAGGGCCUUAACCAAUUAAUAUCUACUAACAAUUUUGAAAAAUCAUUAAGACUUAUUAAAUGGUGUCUCCUUAUUUGUACAGUCUAUGUUUGAAUUUCCUGUAGACUUAUCUUAUAUUCUAAAUAGUUAAUAGAGUCUCCUCUUUGUAUUUUUUUUUCAGGAGCAUAUAAAAUCCGAAGCAAGUUAAAUUCUCUACUUCAUCAUUCAUUUUUUUUCUAAGAUGUCUCUAUUUGAAAUAGCAAGCAAAGUAUCAUCCAUACAAUGAAGGUGAGGAGAAUAAAGUCAGAGGAUAAAGCUAUUGCAACUAAUGAAUUACAAAAUUAGCAUGGAGCAGUCACAGUGACAACGAUGCAGAAUGAUGAUGCAGAGAAGAAUGGCGAUCAAGGCGCCAGUGCUGAGGCCAGCAGGAAGGAGCAGGGCUUCGGCACUGCAGGACUGCAUGUUGCCCUGGCUGUCACAGGCGCAAACACGGAUCGUCAGGGUGCCAGUGCUGCUCUGAAUGGGGUAGUCAUUAUCAGAUAUCACUACCGGCAGUAGAGGCCAAUUAACACAGAGAUGCACAACUGGUCACGAUAUAGAAGACAAGAAACUGCAAAGUACUCAUCCCUAAGUGGGGUGCCUAUAUCAUAGAACACCCCAUAGGACUCAGGAAUAUUGAAGGAAGAUGGAUUGGAAGACUGUUGUGAGUCAGAGAUAGUAGGUGACUACAAGUAAGCAAUGUUUGCUGGAUAUGAACAAGGUAGUUCUACACAGGAACACACAGUAACUAGCAGAAUGCAUACUAGAUGCAGAAAUCUCAAGCCAGGUAAAAUGGAAAAGGGGUGUAAUCAUGAACUGCCUUCCCAAUUUGAGAUGCUCUUCCCACUUGAUAGCUACUGGGAAAGCAAGACAGAGAGUCAUUUGUCUUUAAAGGCGUGACCCCUGUAGUUGGGACAACACUUGAGGGCAGGUUCCACAUCCAAAAAAAUUGGGAAAGCAAAUUGGACUUGAUGGGCUUAAACAGCAAUAACAAUAAAAACACAGGAGAGAACUAUAAGUUGCAUGGGUAGGCAAGUGAGGGACUGAGGGUGUAGUUGGGUUAGAGAAGUGAAUGGGAUCAAAAUAUAUUAUAGGAAGUUCUCAAAGAAUAAAUACUAUUUUUAAAACAAUAGGGAAGGGUACUGAGGUAACUGAUGCCUGGCAACUGUCUUGGAUAUCAGUCCUGCGUCGACUGCUCUGGUUAAUUUUCUGUCAAUUUGAACAAGCUAGAAUCAUUUGGGAAGAAAGAAACUCAUGUUCUACCACAGUGGUCUGUGGUUAAGCCUGCAGGGCAUCUUUUUGAUCAAUGAUUGAUGUAAGUGGGACCAGCCCAUUAUGCGGUACCAGCUGGGCACCAGUCCUGUGAUGCUUAAGAUAGCAGGUGGAGCAAGCCAUGGGAGGCAGGCUAGUAAGCUCUACUCCUUGGCAUCAGUUCUUGUCUUCAUUUUCCUAUUUUGAGUUCUUGCCUUAACUCCCUGAGUUAGUGUGUGUGUUUGUACACCAUGUGAAGAUGUGUCUCUGUCCUUCCUUGCCUGCCUAAGGCACUUUCUGAUUGAAUUUUUAAAAAAGCCUGUGAUCCAUAGCAAAAGGCAAAAUAGAAACAUGGGACUUCUGGACGGAGAGAGGAACUCUGGGAGAGCACCAGAUGUGGGAAGAUUUGCCACAUAGUAGAAGAGGAAGUUGGAUUUAUGAAACUGAAGAGAGGAAACCAGCCAUGUAGCAGAACUUAGAUUAGUAUAAACAGGAUAAUUAAGUUACAAGUUAGUUGUCAACAAGCAUAGUUUAAGCUCCAGGCAUCAACUCAUGAAAAAGCCUUGUGUAAUUAUUCAGGAACUGAGGCAGACAUAGAAAAUGCACAAACUAUUACACCCUCAGCGAUGCUGAAGGAAAGGUUAUCCAGAGACUGCCCCACCCAUGGAUCCAUCCCAUCUGCAGACAUCAAACCCAAACAUUAUUGUUGAUGCCAAGAAGCACUUGCUGACAGGAGCAUGGUGGUAUAGCUGCUCCCUGAAAGGUCUUCCCAGAACCUGACUAAUAUACAUGCAGAUUAUCAAAGCCAGCCAUCAGACUGAGCCCUGGGACACCAAUAGAAGAGCUAGGGAAAGGACUGGAGGAGCUGAAAAAGAUUGCAACCCCAUAGGCAGCACAAUAUCAACUGACUGGACCUCUCAGAUCUCCCAGGGACUAACUACCAACAAAAGAGUAUACAUGGGGGGAUCCAUUUCUCCGGAUACAUAUGUAGCAGAGGAUGGCCUUAUCAGGAAUCAAUGGGAGGCCCCCUUGGUCCUGCGGAGGGUUGAUACCCCAACACAGAGUGGUGAGGUGGGAGUGGGUGAGUGGGUGAGUGGUGGCAGAACACCAGCAUAGAGGCAUAGGGGAGAGG